rnacentral:rRNA from 1 species
AAAGGAAUUGACGGGGACCCGCACAAGCGGUGGAGUAUGUGGUUUAAUUCGAUGCAACGCGAAAAACCUUACCAAGGUUUGAAAUCAUUUCAAAACUCUUUGAAAGAAGAGCCUCCUUCGGGAUGGAAUGACAGGUGGUGCAUGGCUGUCGUCAGCUCGUGUUGUGAAAUGUCAAGUUAAGUCUUGUAACGAGCGCAACCCAUGUCUUUUGUUGCUGUUUACAGUGCUUAAAAGAGACUGCCGCUCUACAGCGGAGGAAGGUGUGGAUGAUGUCAAGUCAGCAUGCCCCUUAUAUCUUGGGCUACACACGUACUACAAUGGUAGGGACAAUGAGUCGCAAACCUGCGAAGGCUAGCCAAUCUCAAAAACCCUAUCUCAGUUCGGAUUGUACUCUGCAACUCGAGUGCAUGAAGGUGGAAUCGCUAGUAAUCGCUGGUCAGCAUACAGCGGUGAAUACCUUCCCGGGUCUUGUACACACUGCCCGUCACACCAUGGAAGUCGAUCCUUCCCUAAGUCGUUACUCGAACCUUUUAGGACGAGGAUGCCGAAGGCAGGGUUGGUGACUAGGGUGAAGUCGUAACAAGGUAACCAAG